rnacentral:rRNA from 1 species
AUUGAACGCUGGCGGCAGGCCUAAUACAUGCAAGUCGAGCGGAGCGGGGGACGGGGGAGUAAUGCCUAGGAAUCAGCCUGGUAGUGGGGGACAAAGUCCGGAAACGGGCGAUAAUACCGCAUACUCUCAGACGAGCCUAGGUCGGAUUAGCUAGUUGUGGGGGUAAAGGCCGACCAAGGGGACGAUCCGUAACUGGUCCGAGAGGAUGAUAAGGCACACUGGAACUGAGACAAGGUCCAGACUCCUACGGGAGGCAGCAGUGGGGAAUAUUGGACAAUGGGCGAAAGCCUGAUCCAGCCAUGCCGCGUGUGUGAAGAAGGUCUUCGGAUUGUAAAGCACUUUAAGUUGGGAGGCGUUACCAACAGAAUAAGCACCGGCUAACUUCGUGCCAGCAGCCGCGGUAAUAC